rnacentral:rRNA from 1 species
UGAGGAAUAUUGGUCAAUGGGGGCAACCCUGAACCAGCCAAGUCGCGUGAAGGAUGAAGGUCUUAUGGAUUGUAAACUUCUUUUAUACAGGAAUAAAUUGGGGGACGUGUCCCCUUUUGCAUGUACUGUAUGAAUAAGGAUCGGCUAACUCCGUGCCAGCAGCCGCGGUAAUACGGAGGAUCCGAGCGUUAUCCGGAUUUAUUGGGUUUAAAGGGUGCGCAGGCGGGAUGUUAAGUCGGCGGUGAAAUUUUGCAGCUCAACUGUAAAAGUGCCUUCGAUACUGGCUUUCUUGAGUGUAGAUGAAGUAGGCGGAAUUUGUGGUGUAGCGGUGAAAUGCUUAGAUAUCACGAGGAACUCCGAUUGCGCAGGCAGCUUACUAAACUACAACUGACGCUCAUGCACGAAGGCGUGGGGAUCAAACA